ACCCUGACCGAGCAACGCCGCGUGAGUGAAGAAGGUUUUCGGAUCGUAAAGCUCUGUUGUAAGAGAAGAACGUGUGUGAGAGUGGAAAGUUCACACAGUGACGGUAACUUACCAGAAAGGGACGGCUAACUACGUGCCAGCAGCCGCGGUAAUACGUAGGUCCCGAGCGUUGUCCGGAUUUAUUGGGCGUAAAGCGAGCGCAGGCGGUUUGAUAAGUCUGAAGUAAAAGGCUGUGGCUUAACCAUAGUACGCUUUGGAAACUGUCAAACUUGAGUGCAGAAGGGGAGAGUGGAAUUCCAUGUGUAGCGGUGAAAUGCGUAGAUAUAUGGAGGAACACCGGUGGCGAAAGCGGCUCUCUGGUCUGUAACUGACGCUGAGGCUCGAAAGCGUGGGGAGCGAACAGGAUUAGAUACCCUGGUAGUCCACGCCGUAAACGAUGAGUGCUAGGUGUUGGGUCCUUUCCGGGACUCAGUGCCGCAGCUAACGCAUUAAGCACUCCGCCUGGGGAGUACGACCGCAAGGUUGAAACUCAAAGGAAUUGACGGGGGCCCGCACAAGCGGUGGAGCAUGUGGUUUAAUUCGAAGCAACGCGAAGAACCUUACCAGGUCUUGACAUCCCAGUGACCGUCCUAGAGAUAGGAUUUUUCUUCGGAACACUGGUGACAGGUGGUGCAUGGUUGUCGUCAGCUCGUGUCGUGAGAUGUUGGGUUAAGUCCCGCAACGAGCGCAACCCCUAUUGUUAGUUGCCAUCAUUCAGUUGGGCACUCUAGCGAGACUGCCGGUAAUAAACCGGAGGAAGGUGGGGAUGACGUCAAAUCAUCAUGCCCCUUAUGACCUGGGCUACACACGUGCUACAAUGGCUGGUACAACGAGUCGCAAGUCGGUGACGGCAAGCUAAUCUCUUAAAGCCAGUCUCAGUUCGGAUUGUAGGCUGCAACUCGCCUACAUGAAGUCGGAAUCGCUAGUAAUCGCGGAUCAGCACGCCGCGGUGAAUACGUUCCCGGGCCUUGUACACACCGCCCGUCACACCACGAGAGUUUGUAACACCCGAAGUCGGUGAGGUAACC
rnacentral:rRNA from 1 species